GACAGAGGUGGCAAGCGUUGCUCGGAUUCACUGGGCUUAAAGGGCGCGUAGGUGGUCUUGUAAGUCAAAGGUGGAAUUCCACAGCUUAACUGUGGAACUGCCUUUGAUACUGCAAGGCUUGAGUCAGGUAGAGGGAGGCGGAAUUCCCGGUGUAGCGGUGAAAUGCGUAGAUAUCGGGAGGAAGGCCGGUGGCGAAGGCGGCCUCCUGGGCCUGCACUGACGCUGAGGCGCGAAAGCGUGGGGAGCAAACAGG
rnacentral:rRNA from 1 species